GUGAAGAUGCAGUGUACCCGCGGCAAGACGGAAAGACCCCGUGAACCUUUACUAUAGCUUGACACUGAACACUGGUCCUUGAUGUGUAGGAUAGGUGGGAGGCUUUGAAGUGUGGACGCCAGUCUGCGUGGAGCCAUCCUUGAAAUACCACCCUUUAAUGGCUGGUGUUCUAACGUGGGCCCGUUAUCCGGGUUGCGGACAGUGUCUGGUGGGUAGUUUGACUGGGGCGGUCUCCUCC
rnacentral:rRNA from 1 species